GGAAAGAUGAAAAGAACUUUGAAAAGAGAGUUAAACAGUACGUGAAAUUGUUGAAAGGGAAACGAUUGAAGUCAGUCAUACCAACGGGAAAUCAACCUUUUGAGCUUGGUCUCGUGGGUUUUGAAGAGUUUCAAAGCCUUCGGAUUCGCGAGAUUGAGAUCUCUCGGUGUACUUUCUCGUACGGUUAGUCAACAUCGGUUUUGAAUGUCAUAAAAUGACUGGAGGAAUGUAGCUUCGAUCUCGUAUUGAAGUGUUAUAGCCUUUGGUAGAUGUGAUGUUUGAGACCGAGGAUUGCAACGGAUACCCUUCAGGGCUAUUCGUCUGAUCUCUGAUACGUUGCCUUGAUGUUGAAAGCUUGCUUAUGAUGUUAGGGUAUUACGGUCAAAAGGUUAGAACGAAUUACAUUCGUUAUGGAUGUUGACGUAAUGACUUUAAACGACCCGUCUUGAAACACGGACCA
rnacentral:rRNA from 1 species